AAUUUAUGGCAUUUAGGGCAUGAGAGUUAAACACUCUUUUGUAAUCUUUGUUGGUUUAGUAAAAUUCUUUUUCGUUCUUCCUCUGUAGACGUAGGCUUGUACGCUGAACCACAUAAAUAUUUUGUGUUAUUUUGAGAUUGUUUGUUUCUUCAGUUUCACCUACAAUAUUAAUAUUUGGUACUUUGUUAGAAUUCACUUUCGUCCGUGGAUGUAAUCUUUUACUUCAAACCAAGGAAAUAUUUUGUGUUAUUUUGAGAUUGUUUGUUUCUUUGCUUUCGCCUAUAAUAUUGAUAUUUAGUACUUUGUUAGAGUUAUCUUUCGCUUGCGCAUAAAACUACAACAUCGCCCACCCAAGAGAAAAGUCAUGGACCUGCUCCUGCCUCCUUAUCCCUAUUACCACACAUACCAAAAUAGCCUCACGGGUUGCUUCACUUCUACCAAUGCUAUCACGAACCACCCAACCACACCACCAUCGUCUCAACUCGGCUACCCAUAUUUGUCGGCCUUAUAACCCUAAUUUAUGCAUUUGUUAUUACAAGUGUUGGUCUUGCAACCUUUCACAGGAAAGCCCUAAUACACUCUCUAACCCUAGCAUAAUUCACAAAAUUUACCCUCCUUCUAGCUGCUAGCCUCCAACUCAUUCUUAAGGCCGGUGGCAACCACCCUUUCAACCUUUCUUAUCCUUCUCCUUCUUAUUCCAACCACCCCCCCCCCCCCCCCCCCCCAAAAACAAGAUUUUUCUUCCCCGUAACUGCGAUGGCCCCGAUUCCCGUCAUGGAUCGGUGGAGCAACCUACCAUCUAUAAGUGGUGUGGAUGGAGCUAUGUCUUCCGCCUUUUUGCCCAUGUUUCAAGGUCAUAUUCCUCUAAUUUGGGGCUUUUGGCUAGAUUUGGGGGCUUUGCGCUCAAAAUCUUCCAAAACUUCAAAUCAGCCCUCCAACUCCUCACACCCGUAUUCGCUGUUUUUUCCAUGCUUUUCUCCGAUCAAAGACAACUAUAUGGUGUCACCCCUACAAAAGGUCUAGAGUCUCUUUGAAUUGGUGGUUACACCAUCUGACCUUUUUUGUUACUACUUGGUUCUAGGCAUUCACAUGCCUAUUGUGUGUUUGUGUUCGGCUGAGGACCAGAACUGUGGUGACCGGAAUGGGUAUGGUUCUUCCUGAUUUACAGAUUUGGCUCUUUUUUACCGGUGCUGUGACAUCAAUGGGUUUGCGUAUUGCUAUCUACGGAGGUUUCUCUUGGUUUUCCUGUUCGCUGGUCGUCUCCACCAAUUAUGCUGUGGUUGAGGUGUGUGACUCUCGUUUUAGGGUUAUUAGGUUUUUAUGUGGGGUUACUUUUUGGGUGGGCCUUGGCUUUUGGACCGAUACACACUGUUUAUAAUUUUUUGUUUAAGGUAUUGAUGGGAACUUUUAUUCACAUAAUGAAUGUAUAAGUGACGUUAUGUUCGUACCUAUUCUAUUUAUGAGGUUAUUAUUUUAUUUUCUCAUUUUCA